rnacentral:rRNA from 1 species
UACGGGGGGAGCAAGCGUUGUUCGGAAUUACUGGGCGUAAAGGGCUCGUAGGCGGCCAACUAAGUCCGACGUGAAAUCCCAAGGCUUAACCUUGGAACUGCGUCGGAUACUGGAUGGCUUGAAUUCGGGAGAGGGAUGCAGAAUUCCAGGUGUAGCGGUGAAAUGCGUAGAUAUCAGGAAGAACACCCGUGGCGAAAGCGGCUCUCUGGAACGGUACUGACGCUGAGACGCGAAAGCGUGGGGGAGCGAACAGG